rnacentral:rRNA from 1 species
AACGAACGCUGGCGGCAUGCCUAACACAUGCAAGUCGAACGAGACCUUCGGGUCUAGUGGCGCACGGGUGCGUAACGCGUGGGAACCUGCCCGUAGGUUCGGAAUAACUCCCCGAAAGGGGUGCUAAUACCGGAUAAUGUCUUCGGACCAAAGAUUUAUCGCCUUUGGAUGGGCCCGCGUUGGAUUAGCUAGUUGGUAGGGUAAAAGCCUACCAAGGCGACGAUCCAUAGCUGGUCUGAGAGGAUGAUCAGCCACACUGGGACUGAGACACGGCCCAGACUCCUACGGGAGGCAGCAGUGGGGAAUAUUGGACAAUGGACGAAAGCCUGAUCCAGCAAUGCCGCGUGAGUGAUGAAGGCCUUAGGGUUGUAAAGCUCUUUUACCCGGGAUGAUAAUGACAGUACCGGGAGAAUAAGCUCCGGCUAACUCCGUG